rnacentral:rRNA from 1 species
UACGGGGGGGGUAAGCGUUGUUCGGAGUUACUGGGCGUAAAGGGUGUGUAGGCGGUUCUUUAAGUUUGGUGUGAAAUCUCCCGGCUCAACCGGGAGGGUGCGCCGAAUACUGAGGGACUUCGAGUGCGGGAGAGGAAAGUGGAAUUCCUGGUGUAGCGGUGAAAUGCGCAGAUAUCAGGAGGAACACCGGUGGCGAAGGCGGGUCUCUGGGCCGAAACUGACGCUGAGGAGCGAAAGCGUGGGGAGCAAACAGG